UCCUUGUGCGAUGUUGUCCUUUCUCUCUCCCAAAAACAUGUUUUGUUUGUUUUGCUAGAAAGAAAGCAGAAAGGGACAAAUAAACCCGCCCUCUGUUCCACAAAUGCUCUUUGAGGACUCCACAGUUUGGAUGCGUCCAUCCAGACCUUUGCCCCGUGAAGCAAAGGGUUAAGAGAAUUCCACGAUGACUAUAGAUUUUGCAACUUACAGCUGAGCAGAUCAGAAAAAACGUUGAAAAAUAUUUAGAGGAUGCCCAAAACAGAAAUGCCCAGCAAUUUUUUUUUUUUGGCUGGCUGAAGCCAAUGGGCAACCAGAAGGAAAGGCCUUGCAUCGGAUUAUGAGCAUAGGUGCCUGAAGGUAGGACAAGAAACAAUGGAUAGUAAAUAAUCAAGGAGAGAAGCAAUCUGGAACUAAGGAGAAACUUCCUAACAGGGAGGACAAUUAACCAGUGGAAUAUUUGUGCUUUCAGACGUUGUGGGUGCUUCAACAUUCGAGGUUUUUAAGAAGAGACUGGACAACCACCUGUCUGAAAUGCGGCUUCAGACUUUAAGGAACCAGAGUUUGCAGCUUGGAAUAGAUGCCAGUUUGCUUCUGAACGUGACAAAGUCACACGCGCCUGCAGGAAAGGAAGGUACUCUGUGGGUCUCUAGCGCAGUCCUUUACAAGAGAUUCCAGUGUAUUUCCGAGACUUGCUCAUCGCCUCCCCCUCCCUGCUUUCCUCAGCAGACGCUGCUCCCUUUCCGAGCUUCUCCAUUGCAGGACGAAAAAGCUAUUUCCAUGAUACCAACCCUGCCAAAUAAAUUCCUUCCUCCUCCCCCCCCCCCCAGUUCAUUUUCAUACAGCCAUACAGACUUUGGGAAAAGAGCAGAGAAGAGCAACUAAGAUGAUCAAAGGCCUGGAGACUAAAACUUAGGAGGAACGGCUGCAGGAUUUGGGUUUGGCUAGUCUAGUGAAAAGACCUCACGUGAUAGCAGUCUUCCAGGAUUUAUGAGGCUGCCACAAAGAAGAAGAGAGGUCAACCUAUUUUCCAAAGUACCUGAGGGCAAGACAAGAAAUAAUGGAUGGAAGCUAAUCAAGGAGAGAAGCCACAUGGAAUUAAGGAGAAACUUCCCAAUGUUAGUCUUUUUAGGUUGGAAGACAAACCCAGCCUUCUCCACCAACAAAAUGAAAUAGGAAAAAUGAACUCGGAGUGGCGCUCAUGGCAGGAAAUGGUGCUGUUGCCUUCUGCUAUCAGCCCUAGUGGCCUGCAAGACUCUUCUCCAGCGAAAAACUUGAGAUCCAUGUCCAGCUUUCUCUCUCCACAGCUGAAUGUUGACCAUACUUUCCAGAAUUGCCCCAUUUCGGUGACAGCUCCAGCCUCCUCCCUUGUCUGUACUCAGUUUUUCUGAAAGAUUGACACUGAUUACAUGGCGAUGGGGAUGGAGCACCACCAGGAAAUCCUACAGGGGAUGAUCCAGACUGGGAAGAAAAGGAAAGAAAAGAAAAGAAAAGAAAAGAAGAGGAAGAAGGCACUGGCAAGCUAUUUCAGAUUCCCAUAUGCUGAUUUCUAAAAAUUUUAGAAAUUCAGCUGGGGGAAAAAACUAUCCCUGUGGGGAUGAGACAGUGAUUGGUCUCAUUCAAGACAACAAUGAAUCUGCAUGCAGAUGGGAGGUUGUACAACUAGCCUUGUGGUGCAAUCAGAAGAAUCUUGAACUAAACACACUCAAAUGUGUAGAAAUGGUGGUAGAUUUUAGGAGAAACCCUCCCAUGCUACCACCUCUUACAAUACUAGAGAACGCAGUAUCAAUUGUAGAGACCUCCAAGUUUCUAAGUUCUAGGUUUCAAGACUUAAAAUGGACACCUAACAUCAAAAACAUCAUCAAAAAAGCACAACAAAAAAUGUUCUUCCUGCACCAACUCAGGAAGCUGAUUCAGUUCUACAGAGGAAUUAUGAUUCUGUAAUCUGCAGCUCCAUAACAAUGGUAAAAUCCUGCCAGUUCUCUCCGGUUAACGCGAACUGGUAGCCGCCGUGGCAGUGAUUCGGCAAACCAGUAGCAGCAGCAGUGCGAGGCUCCUCCUACCCACCCAGACAUCAUUACUUCCUAGUUUUAACCAGGAAGUAACCCGUUUUUGAGCCUCUGCGCAUGUGCAGGCUUUGCGCAUGCGCAGAGGGUCAAAAAUUGGACCUGACAAGAGGUCACGCCCUUGCUCUGCUCAUGUGCACGCGCAGCAUGCACACUUCCAAACUGGUAGGGAAGGUAAGUAGAUUUCACCCAUGCGCCAUAACUGUCUGGUUUGGCUCUGCAACCCAACAAGACAGACACAGACUUCAGAGGAUAAUUAGAAUUGCAGAAAAAAUAAUUGCUACCAACCUGCCUUCCAUUGAGGACCUGUAUACUGCACGAGUCAAAAAGAGGGCCGUGAAAAUAUUUACAGACCCCUCGCAUCCUGGACAUAAACUGUUUCAACUCCUACGCUCAAAACGACGCUAUAGAGCACUGCACACCAGAACAACAAGACACAAGAACAGUUUUUUCCCGAAGGCCAUCCUCUGCUAAACAAAUAAUUCCUUCAACACUGUCAAACUAUUUACUAAAUCUGUACUACUAUUAAUCUACUCAUCAUUCUCAUCACCCAUUUCCUUCCACUUAUGACUGUAACUUUGUGGCUUGUAUCUUUAUGAUUCAUUUAUGUUUCAUUUAUGUAUGAAUAAAUGAUUUGACUGCUUA